rnacentral:rRNA from 1 species
AGUGAACGCUGGCGGUAGGCCUAACACAUGCCAGUCGAACGGCAGCACAGUAAGAGCUUGCUCUUACGGGUGGCGAGUGGCGGACGGGUGAGGAAUACAUCGGAAUCUACUUUUUCGUGGGGGAUAACGUAGGGAAACUUACGCUAAUACCGCAUACGACCUACGGGUGAAAGCAGGGGAUCUUCGGACCUUGCGCGAUUGAAUGGGCCGAUGUCGGAUUAGCUAGUUGGCGGGGUAAAGGCCCACCAAGGCGACGAUCCGUAGCUGGCCUGAGAGGAUGAUCAGCCACACUGGAACUGAGACACGGUCCAGACUCCUACGGGAGGCAGCAGUGGGGAAUAUUGGACAAUGGGCGCAAGCCUGAUCCAGCCAUACCGCGUGGGUGAAGAAGGCCUUCGGGUUGUAAAGCCCUUUUGUUGGGAAAGAAAAGCAGCAGGUUAAUACCCCGCUGUUCUGACGGUACCCAAAGAAUAAGCACCGGCUAACUUCGUG